CUACGUGCCAGCAGCCGCGGUAAUACGGAAGGUCCAGGCGUUAUCCGGAUUUAUUGGGUUUAAAGGGAGCGUAGGCCGUGGAUUAAGCGUGUUGUGAAAUGUAGACGCUCAACGUCUGAAUUGCAGCGCGAACUGGUUCACUUGAGUAUGCGCAACGUAGGCGGAAUUCGUCGUGUAGCGGUGAAAUGCUUAGAUAUGACGAAGAACUCCGAUUGCGAAGGCAGCUUACGGGAGCACAACUGACGCUGAAGCUCGAAGGUGCGGGUAUCAAACAGGAUUAGAUACCCUGGUAGUCCGCACAGUAAACGAUGGAUGCCCGUUGUUAGUUCACUUUCGAAUUAGCGACCAAGCGAAAGCAUUAAGCAUCCCACCUGGGGAGUACGCCGGCAACGGUGAAACUCAAAGGAAUUGACGGGGGCCCGCACAAGCGGAGGAACAUGUGGUUUAAUUCGAUGAUACGCGAGGAACCUUACCCGGGCUUGAA
rnacentral:rRNA from 1 species